CCUACGGGUGGCAGCAGUGAGGAAUAUUGGUCAAUGGGCGCGAGCCUGAACCAGCCAAGUAGCGUGAAGGAUGACUGCCCUACGGGUUGUAAACUUCUUUUAUAAAGGAAUAAAGUGAGGCACGUGUGCCUUUUUGUAUGUACUUUAUGAAUAAGGAUCGGCUAACUCCGUGCCAGCAGCCGCGGUAAUACGGAGGAUCCGAGCGUUGUCCGGAUUUAUUGGGUUUAAAGGGAGCGUAGAUGGGUUGUUAAGUCAGUUGUGAAAGUUUGGGGCUCAACCGUAAAAUUGCAAGUGAUACUGGCAGUCUUGAGUACAGUUGAGGUAGGCGGAAUGCGUGGUGUAGCGGUGAAAUGCGUAGAUAUCACGAAGAACACCGAUAGCGAAGGCAGCUUACUAGACUGCCGCUGACGCUGAGGUGCGAAAGUGUGGGUAGCAAACAGGAUUAGAUACCCGGGUAGUC
rnacentral:rRNA from 1 species